rnacentral:rRNA from 1 species
UACAGAGGUCCCAAGCGUUGUUCGGAUUUACUGGGCGUAAAGGGAGCGUAGGUGGCAUUCUAAGUCUGAUGUGAAAGCUCUGAGCUUAACUCAGAAAUGGCAUUAGAUACUAGUUUGCUCGAGGAUUGGAGGGGAGAUUGGAAUACUUGGUGUAGCAGUGAAAUGCGUAGAUAUCAAGUGGAACACCAGUGGCGAAGGCGAAUCUCUGGACAAUUCCUGACACUGAUGCUCGAAAGCUAGGGGAGCAAACGGG